UUCUAUUCCACGGUGCCUUGUUGUUCAGAGAUUGGCUAAAGCUUUCAUGGCUACUGCUGUCAGAUCUGCCUCUAUUUCUUUCAACUCUACCAGGGUUGUGACCAAAUCUGCCCUUUCGGGUGGUUGAACUGGUCAAAG